UGGUGCCGCGCUGCUUGGUUUGGUUGUUUUGCCUCCAAGAUCAGUCCCGGAUUGUUUGGGGUGCUUGGUUGACCAGAGGGAUGCUCUGUGGGGGCAUUCGGCUCCUCUCCAUGCCCUGGUAGCGAGAUCCAGCACGUUGGGGUCUUCAUCUGCUCGUUUUUUCAAGCCUUGGUGAGGCUUGCUCCUGAAACCUGCGUUCCCGUAGAGGAUUUAUGAUCCUCAGGACCCCAAAAACACGCUGCCGACCACGGUGGUCCCCGAGAUGGGGACCUCAGCCACCGAUAUUCCUGGUGGGAGGCCACAAGCUCUGCUCCCGGCUCGCAGAACCUCUCCUUCCCCGCAUGGGGCAGCCAGCAAACCUGGAAUAUUUCUGGAAAUCCAAGCCAGCGGCCAGCACGAGGAGCCCCUGGGUCAAAAAGGAAGCAGGAGGAGGCUUCCGACCGACGGGAGAGGCCCUGCGCCGCCUGAAAUCCCUUUGACCCAGCAAAGAGCCCGGGGAUUAAAACCCGAAGCCAACCCCGCGCAGCCACGCGAAGCUGCGCAUUAACUGUGCCCUGUCUCUUAUACACAUCUAGAUGUGUAUAAGAGACAGGAGAGGGCCUCUGUGCGUGCGGGCUCACGGCUCCUGCAGCCUUCCCGCUCGGGCUGGGCGCCUCGCUCAACACGUGCUCGGCUCUCGGGGGGUUUUAAUCAAGUCCAGGCUUUACCAGAAAUCGUUUUUACGCCUCAAAAACCCAGCCCAAAGCAGCGGCGGAGAGGGGAGCUUGGGGCGGCGGGGAUGCUGCCCUCGGAGAGGGGCGGGAGGUGACGCCGGGCUGGGGGGCCAGCCUCGAGCGCCCCGGAGGGGAAGAAAUCGGUGCCAGGAAGGCGUGAGGAUGCCAGCCUACCCAUGAGCUCGGAUUUCCAGCACUACAGUUUCAGGAUGCCGAACAUCGGGUUCCAGAACCUGCCUCUCAACAUAUACAUCGUGGUUUUCGGCACGGCCAUCUUCGUCUUCAUCCUCAGUUUACUCUUCUGCUGCUACCUGAUCAGGUAAGAAUAGUUGAUUAGAGAAAGAAUAUUUAAAAAAAAAAAGGAUUAAAAUCAGAAAAAAGGAUUUGCUCAGCCCUUAGCAUCGGCCUCAACAUUCGUCCCUCGCAGAGGAAACGGCCGCGGAGCUCGCGCAGCGUGGACCCAACACGUCUGGGAGCGAGCAGCUCUGAGAGGAGCUGUGUUAUCGGCUCCAAACCCAGCAGAUAUUUAUUUCUGGGGUCACUUAACACGGGCACGGAGCACGGUUGCUCAGGCAGGCGUCUCAAACAGGACUUAGAAGCGAGGUUUUAUGGUUCCUGCCCACGGCUCGCUCUUUAAUGGCUAACUCGGGCGCCGGCUGCUUAGGGAAUGUUUAAUGCCUGCCCCCUCAUUGCCCUACCCAAAUCCCUCCUCGUGAGGGAUGCGUUUUCCCCGGGUUGAGCUGCAAAACGAAGAGGUGGUUGGGC
rnacentral:lncRNA from 1 species